rnacentral:rRNA from 1 species
CGCGAAGAACCUUACCUACCCUUGACAUGGUCGGAAUCCCGCUGAGAGGUGGGAGUGCUCGAAAGAGAACCGGCGCACAGGUGCUGCAUGGCUGUCGUCAGCUCGUGUCGUGAGAUGUUGGGUUAAGUCCCGCAACGAGCGCAACCCUUGUCCUUAGUUGCUACGCAAGAGCACUCUAAGGAGACUGCCGGUGACAGACCGGAGGAAGGUGGGGAUGACGUCAAGUCCUCAUGGCCCUUAUGGGUAGGGCUUCACACGUCAUACAAUGGUCGGAACAGAGGGUUGCCAACCCGCGAGGGGGAGCUAAUCCCAGAAAACCGAUCGUAGUCCGGAUUGCACUCUGCAACUCGAGUGCAUGAAGCUGGAAUCGCUAGUAAUCGCGGAUCAGCAUGCCGCGGUGAAUACGUCCCCGGGUCUUGUACACACCGCCCGUCACACCAUGGGAGUGGGUUUUACCAGAAGUGGCUAGUCUAACCGCAAGGAGGACGGUCACCACGGUAGGAUUCAUGACUGGGGUGAAGUCGUAACAAGGUAACCUUAAUUAAAA